rnacentral:rRNA from 1 species
AUCCAGACAUUGGGAGGUAGCGACGAGAAAUAGCGAGGCGGGCCAAAGGCUCGCUAUCGCAAUGGACCAAACCUAAAGAGGUUGGUGAGUAGCAACUGGAGGGCAAGUCUGGUGCCAGCAGCCGCGGUAAUUCCAGCUCCAGUAGUGUAUAUCAAAAUUGUUGCGGUUAAAACGCUCGUAGUCGGAGGAGAAAGACAAGUGGUCGUUGCGAUUCAAUCGCGGCGGCCUCGGGUCUUGUGGUCGCGGGCUCCGGUGGUGAGCUUUAAUGCUUGUGGCCGGUCGCUCGCGAAGCGUGCCUUGAAUAAAGCAGAGUGCUCAAAGCAAGCGCAACGCGUGAAUGUGAUAGCAUGGAACGAAGCAAGACGCGAGCGCGGUUUGUCGGUGAGGCUGCAGAGAUGCGGCCGUCCGGGCCGGGGCAACUCGGCCUGGAGCCGCGCUCGGUCGGAAUCAAGAGGGCCACUUGAGGGCGUUAGUACUUGGUGGCGAGAGGUGAAAUUCUUAGACCCACCAAAGACUGGCUAAUGCGAAAGCAUUCGCCAAGAGUGUUUUCAUUGAUCAAGAACGAAAGUUGGAGGUUCGAAGACGAUCAGAUACCGUCCUAGUUCCACACAGUAAACGAUGCCAACAUGGGGUCAGCUCGAARGUGUUCAGGUUGGUCUCGCCGGGAAACCUGUAGUGUUCGGGUUCCGGGGAGAGUACUAUCGCAAGGUAGAAAUUUAAAGGAAUUGACGGAAGGGCACCACCAGGAGUGGAGCCUGCGGCUUAAUUUGACUCAACACGGGGCAACUCACCAGGUCCGGACAUGGGCAGGAUUGACAGAGCGAAGAUCUUUCAUGAUUUCAUGGAUGGUGGUGCAUGGCCGUUCUUAGUUGGUGGAGUGAUCUGUCAGGUUUAUUCCGGUAACGAGCGAGACCACGGUGUCUAGUUUAUGGCGGGCGGGCCCAGCAAUGGGUGCGUUCGAUACUAGACAGACGACCGGAUUGAAGCCGGGG